rnacentral:rRNA from 1 species
AUUGAACGCUGGCGGCAUGCCUUACACAUGCAAGUCGAACGGCAGCACGGGUGCUUGCACCUGGUGGCGAGUGGCGAACGGGUGAGUAAUACAUCGGAACAUGUCCUGUAGUGGGGGAUAGCCCGGCGAAAGCCGGAUUAAUACCGCAUACGAUCCACGGAUGAAAGCGGGGGACCUUCGGGCCUCGCGCUAUAGGGUUGGCCGAUGGCUGAUUAGCUAGUUGGUGGGGUAAAGGCCUACCAAGGCGACGAUCAGUAGCUGGUCUGAGAGGACGACAAGCCACACUGGGACUGAGACACGGCCCAGACUCCUACGGGAGGCAGCAGUGGGGAAUUUUGGACAAUGGGCGAAAGCCUGAUCCAGCAAUGCCGCGUGUGUGAAGAAGGCCUUCGGGUUGUAAAGCACUUUUGUCCGGAAAGAAAUCCUUGACUCUAAUACAGCCGGGGGAUGACGGUACCGGAAGAAUAAGCACCGGCUAACUACGUG